rnacentral:rRNA from 3 species
UGACCUCAAAUCGGGUGAGACUACCCGCUGAACUUAAGCAUA